GUGCUGGCUUCGACAGCACAUAUACUAAAAUUGCAACGAUACAGAGAAGAUUAGCAUGGCCCCUGCACAAGGAUGACCCACCAAAUUCAAAAUCUCUAACCCAAACUC
ensembl:snRNA U6 U6 spliceosomal RNA